AGCCCUGAGGUGAUUUAUCAUGUUGAAUUGCAAAUUCAAAGGAGCAGCUUCAAUCCUGCCUGGGCUU
rnacentral:tRNA from 2 species